UACGUAGGGUGCGAGCGUUGUUCGGAAUUAUUGGGCGUAAAGGGCGCGUAGGCGGUUUGACAAGUCUGAUGUGAAAUCUCUGGGCUCAACCCAGAGUCUGCAUUAGAAACUGUCGGGCUUGAGUAUGGGAGAGGUGAGUGGAAUUUCCGGUGUAGCGGUGAAAUGCGUAGAUAUCGGAAGGAACACCUGUGGCGAAAGCGGCUCACUGGACCAUAACUGACGCUGAGGCGCGAAAGCUAGGGGAGCAAACAGG
rnacentral:rRNA from 1 species